GCGCAGCAGGCGAGAAUAGUCUACAAUGGACGAAAGUCUGAUAGUGCGACGCCGUGUGUGCGAUUAAUUCCUUCGGGAUGUAAAGCACUUUUCUAUGAGAUAAAAGCUCUUUAGGUUAAUAGCUUAUUGAGACGGAUAUUAUUAUAGGAAUAAGCUCCGGCUAACUCCGUGCCAGCAGCCGCGGUAAUACGGAAGGAGCGAGCGUUGUCCGGAUUUACUAGGCGUAAAAGGGCUAGUAGGCGACUAAUUAAGGUUAUAUGUUAAAUCCCACGGCUCAACUGUGGUCCUGCAUGUAAUACUGGUUAGAUAGAGUACUGUAGAGGAAGGCAGAAUUCCUGGAGUAGCGGUGGAAUGCGCAGAUAUCAGGAAGAAUACCAAAAGCGAAGGCAGCCUUCUGGGCAGUUACUGACGCUGAAUAGCG
rnacentral:rRNA from 1 species